rnacentral:rRNA from 1 species
GAACGAAGUUUCGAGGAAGCUUGCUUCCAAAGAGACUUAGUGGCGAACGGGUGAGUAACACGUAGGUAACCUGCCCAUGUGUCCGGGAUAACUGCUGGAAACGGUAGCUAAAACCGGAUAGGUAUACAGAGCGCAUGCUCAGUAUAUUAAAGCGCCCAUCAAGGCGUGAACAUGGAUGGACCUGCGGCGCAUUAGCUAGUUGGUAAGGUAACGGCCCACCAAGGCAAUGAUGCGUAGCCGGCCUGAGAGGGUAAACGGCCACAUUGGGACUGAGACACGGCCCAAACUCCUACGGGAGGCAGCAGUAGGGAAUUUUCGUCAAUGGGGGAAACCCUGAACGAGCAAUGCCGCGUGAGUGAGGAAGGUCUUCGGAUCGUAAAGCUCUGUUGUAAGUGAAGAACGGCUCAUAGAGGAAAUGCUAUGGGAGUGACGGUAGCUUACCAGAAAGCCACGGCUAACUACGUGCCAGCAGCCGCGGUAAUACGUAGGUGGCAAGCGUUAUCCGGAAUCAUUGGGCGUAAAGGGUGCGUAGGUGGCGUACUAAGUCUGUAGUAAAAGGCAAUGGCUCAACCAUUGUAAGCUAUGGAAACUGGUAUGCUGGAGUGCAGAAGAGGGCGAUGGAAUUCCAUGUGUAGCGGUAAAAUGCGUAGAUAUAUGGAGGAACACCAGUGGC